GGAAAUUAGAGGAAUCUCUAUUGGGCAUGUUGAAAGCAAGGCUAGUCUCUAUGCAGACGACGUUCUGUUGACUUUAACGGACCCUAAGACAUCGAUAGAAUCCGUUUUAAAUGAGAUUAAAAUAUAUGGAGAGUACUUUAACUAUAAACUCAAUAUCAAUAAAUCACAAGCUAUGUCAGUGGGAAUGAACGAAAACGCAAUGGUAAUUCUUACUCAUAAGUUUUCAUUCAUGUGAAAAGAUAAAUACAAUGACUACUUAAGGAUCAAAAUUACAAAACCCUCUAUCUUUAAUUGAG